UAAUACCUUGCAUGGGUGUCAAUUUUGUUCCUACAUUUAUUAUAAGAGGGAGAGGGACUCCAAUGGUUUUGAAGUAAACCCACCGAUUGAAAAAUCGCCAGUGGGAAACGGAGUAAAUCAGGGACCUCACCCACCUGCGAGACUCCGCAGGCAACAAAAUCCACUUAUGCAGGGUUUUUU
rnacentral:other from 1 species